GCAAAUAAGAUGUACCCUUUGAUUGUUGCGGAAGGAAGCGGGACCCUUGAAAAUAACGAAAUGUGUAUCUGACAGCUCUCCUCUUUAUGUCGUCUCGUUUGAUGUGUAUAUAAUAUUUAAAGUAGCAUGUGUUAAAUACAGAUAAAAUGGCGUUCCAUUCUUGCUUGUUCCAGCGAGUUAACUUUGACCAUCCACAAGGUAGCGCAUAACUUAUUGACGCUUAAUUCGUUAGCAUUACCUAGCUGAGGUGCAAAGGGAAAAUGCCCCCGAAGAAGCCAAAGUCGAGCGCCGCCAACGUCUCCAGCUCUCUGGACAUGGAGUCAGAGGAUGUCAGCCUUGAGACCACCGUGCCCACCGCUGAGGAUGGUUCCUCGUCGGACGAGAUGCGGCCGGGUUCGCAGAAGCUUAUCCGACAGCUGAUCGAGAGGAAGGAGCUACUGCAGAACGUCCAGCUACUGAAAAUUGAGCUUUCCCAAAAAAAGCUCACCUUAGAUAACUUGAAGGCUGACUAUAUGUCCAGGGUGGAGGAACUGGAAGAGAGGCUGAAUGAUGCCCUCCAUCAGAAACAAGUGUUGGCGCUGAGACUGGACAGUGAGAUAAAACUUGCUCAGGAGGACAACAGAAAGCAGCAGGCUCUGCGCAAGAAAGAAGUGGACGGCAUCCUGCUCCGGCAGCAGCAGCUGGAGGAGGCCAACCUGCAGAUGCGGGAGAAGGCCGGAGAGCUGCGCCGCUCUCUGCGGGACUUGGACAUGUCGCACGAGCGCUAUCUAGAGCUUCGCGACCUCUCCGAAGACUCCAUGUCCAUUCAGGAAUUUGUUGCCGUGCGCUUUUACGAAGCGGUGACUCCGUUAAGGGCUCAGGUGGCCGAGCUGAGUGUGAAGAAAGACACGUUGAGCGAAGACCUGGAGAUGCAGCGGACACAAAUGAAGUCUCUGAUGGAGAGCUACGAGGAGGAACGCCGUCUCCGCACGGAGAUGGAGCUGAGGAGUCAGCGACUGACGCUGGAGCUGGCUGACACCAAACAGCACAUCCAAGAUGGGGACUACCGUCGGGAAAACUACCCCAACGUCAAACGCGAGCGUGACGCCUUGGAAGCCGAACUGAAGGAGGUGAAGAGAAAAUACGAGACACUUAACGUGACUCACGCCGCCCUCGGCAGGGAGCGAGACACCCUCGGCAAAGAGAUGGCGUCGUUGCAGCAGUCAGCGACCUUGCUGCAGAAGGACAAGGAGUACCUGCACAGACAGAACAUGGAGCUGAGCGUUCGAUGUGCGCAUGAGGAAGACCGACUGGAGCGCCUGCAGGUGCAACUGGAGGACGCCAAGAAGGCCAGGGAGGACGCCUAUGAGAAAUACGUGGCAUCCAGCGAUCACUACAAGUCCGAGUAUGAGCGCAAGCUGAGAGACGAGUUGGAGAACAUUCGACUGAAGACGGGUCAGGAAAUCGAUAACCUGCAGAGAACAUCCAGGGAGAUGUAUGAGAGAGAGAACAGAAACCUGCGUGAGGCCAGAGACAACGCGGUGCUGGAGAAGGAGCGGACGCUCGCUGCUGAGAGAGAUACCCAGUCGCGAUACGACCAGCUUCUGGAACAGUUUCGCCAGCUGCAGCUCGGUACAGACGGCAAGGUGGCCGAGUUGUCAAACCGGGCCAAGCUGCACUCCUUCGAAGCCGAGCGUGCUCAGUUGCUGAAGGAGGAGACGGACAAGGCUCUAGCCCAGUGCCAGGUGGAGUGUGAGAAACAGCGCAAAAAAAUGGAGGUCCUGACGCAAGAGUUUUACCGGCUACAGACGUCAUCAGAGAAGCGCACCGCCGAGCUUCACGCUCAGAAUGCCGAGCAGGCGUCUCGCCUGGAGACGUACGAAAAACUCGAGCAGGAGCUGGAUCAGGUCACCGUGCAGGCUGCUGAAAUUGAGAAUGAAGAAGAAGCGGAGAGGGUCCUCUUCUCGUACGGUUACGGAGCCAAUGUUCCCACCACGGCUCGAAGGAGACUUCAGCAGAGUGUUCACCUGGCCCGCAGGGUGCUGCAGCUGGAGAGGCAAAACACAUCGCUGAGGAGAGACUUGGAGAAGCACCAGUCCCAAACAGGCCAGAUAUCUGAGGAGCUGCUGGCAGCCCAGCGGCUGCUGGAGCAGACGCAGCAGCCCUACAGCUACCUGAUCGAGACGGUGAGACGCAAGGACGGCGAGAUCAACAGCCUCAAGCAACGCGUGGCGUCACUCGAGGACGAUAUCACGAUUCCUGAUUGGCAGUCAUCCAUCUCUCCCAAGCCUUGAGGGAUUUAGCACUUUUUUCUCAUUGGCGGCUUUAGCACCUUCACAAUUCCAUAUUGGUGUUUUUAACGUGGGUGAUUACAGCUGGAUGAAAAUCAAUGGAAUAUACAAUUACGACGGAAAAAUACGUUGGAACACACUUUGCUUAAUAACCCAGCAAUCUGUUGUUACCAAGGGUAACAAGGGUAAACGUCUGCUUUACAGUUAGGAGGUCGUGAGGUUCAAAUCUCAUCGACGGCUUUUUUUUUUUUUUGAUCUGGCACUUCAGUUUUCGCCUCCAUUUCAAAAACAUGCACGUCAGACUUAAACUUGGAAGUGUAAAUUCUAGUGCGCUCUGUAAUUGGCCGGCAGGGUCACCUAGAAUCUGCUGUGACCACCAUUGGCCUUAGAUUUAUUGCACCGGCGUGCCUUGGGCCAGCCGUGGGCCGCAACACUCAUGCUUCCUAAUCAGUAUCUCAGCACGCCACACCUACAGUAUGAGGUGGAUGGAUUACCUCGGCAAAGAAGAAGUGCUCACCAACAGGUUUAGACACAUUUGUGAACAAGAUUCUGGAAAAGUAGCACAUUUGAGCCAAAGCAGCUGUUGCAUGUAUUGAGAUAUCUGUUUCACUUUAAUUCUUUUUGAAGUGAUUAUCUAAUGGCAGCAUGGUGGCUCGUCUACCUCACAGGGCCUGCCGCUGACGCCUUUGAAAUGCAAAAUUAGCAGGUGCCGCUAGCCACAAGUGGCCUUCAGGUCAUGUGACGGCGCAGGACGGAAGUCACUAUUUAACACACCGCUUCGCUAUUCAUUGUGCAUCGUGGAAUGUCACGUGGCUGUGUUACAGUGGCGUCAUUUGUUUUGUUUUUUAAUGCGUCACUUUUAUUCGGACAAAAGGUGGCUGCUGAUAUUCUCAUCAGUUUCCUCCACGUUCAGCAGUUGGCAGUGAGGCCGGCGCCCACUUCUGAUACUCAUGCAGGGUCACAGUCCAUUCAUGUCGUCCUGUCUUCAAACAUACGGGAGUUCCCUGAGGAAAGAGCGGACGGGUCUGCUGCAGGUGAAGGACAACAUGGCCGCCGAUCUGGAGCGGCUCCUCAACCA